UACGAAGGGGGCUAGCGUUGCUCGGAUUGACUGGGCGUAAAGGGCGCGUAGGCGGUUCGUACAGUCAGACGUGAAAUUCCUGGGCUCAACCUGGGGGCUGCGUUUGAUACGUGCGGACUUGAGUGCGGAAGAGGGUCGUGGAAUUCCCAGUGUAGAGGUGAAAUUCGUAGAUAUUGGGAAGAACACCGAUGGCGAAGGCAGCCCCCUGGGCUAGCACUGACGCUCAGGCACGAAAGCGUGGGGAGCAAACAGG
rnacentral:rRNA from 1 species